GAUGAACGCUAGCUACAGGCUUAACACAUGCAAGUCGAGGGGCAGCAUGACGAUAGCUUGCUAUUGUCGAUGGCGACCGGCGCACGGGUGAGUAACGCGUAUCCAACCUUCCCCAUAGUAGGGCAUAGCCCGUAGAAAUGCGGAUUAAUACCCUAUGUUUUCCGAAGCAGGCAUCUAAUUCGGAACAAAGGUUCACCGCUAUGGGAUGGGGAUGCGUCUGAUUAGGUUGUUGGCGGGGUAACGGCCCACCAAGCCCUCGAUCAGUAGGGGUUCUGAGAGGAAGGUCCCCCACAUUGGAACUGAGACACGGUCCAAACUCC
rnacentral:rRNA from 1 species